UUAAAUUGAAGAGUUUGAUCAUGGCUCAGAUUGAACGCUGGCGGCAGGCCUAACACAUGCAAGUCGAGCGGUAGCACAGAGAGCUUGCUCUCGGGUGACGAGCGGCGGACGGGUGAGUAAUGUCUGGGAAACUGCCUGAUGGAGGGGGAUAACUACUGGAAACGGUAGCUAAUACCGCAUAAUGUCGCAAGACCAAAGUGGGGGACCUUCGGGCCUCAUGCCAUCAGAUGUGCCCAGAUGGGAUUAGCUAGUAGGUGGGGUAACGGCUCACCUAGGCGACGAUCCCUAGCUGGUCUGAGAGGAUGACCAGCCACACUGGAACUGAGACACGGUCCAGACUCCUACGGGAGGCAGCAGUGGGGAAUAUUGCACAAUGGGCGCAAGCCUGAUGCAGCCAUGCCGCGUGUGUGAAGAAGGCCUUCGGGUUGUAAAGCACUUUCAGCGGGGAGGAAGGCGUUAAGGUUAAUAACCUUGCGAUUGACGUUACCCGCAGAAGAAGCACCGGCUAACUCCGUGCCAGCAGCCGCGGUAAUACGGAGGGUGCAAGCGUUAAUCGGAAUUACUGGGCGUAAAGCGCACGCAGGCGGUCUGUCAAGUCGGAUGUGAAAUCCCCGGGCUCAACCUGGGAACUGCAUUCGAAACUGGCAGGCUAGAGUCUUGUAGAGGGGGGUAGAAUUCCAGGUGUAGCGGUGAAAUGCGUAGAGAUCUGGAGGAAUACCGGUGGCGAAGGCGGCCCCCUGGACAAAGACUGACGCUCAGGUGCGAAAGCGUGGGGAGCAAACAGGAUUAGAUACCCUGGUAGUCCACGCCGUAAACGAUGUCGAUUUGGAGGUUGUGCCCUUGAGGCGUGGCUUCCGGAGCUAACGCGUUAAAUCGACCGCCUGGGGAGUACGGCCGCAAGGUUAAAACUCAAAUGAAUUGACGGGGGCCCGCACAAGCGGUGGAGCAUGUGGUUUAAUUCGAUGCAACGCGAAGAACCUUACCUGGUCUUGACAUCCACAGAACUUUCCAGAGAUGGAUUGGUGCCUUCGGGAACUGUGAGACAGGUGCUGCAUGGCUGUCGUCAGCUCGUGUUGUGAAAUGUUGGGUUAAGUCCCGCAACGAGCGCAACCCUUAUCCUUUGUUGCCAGCGGUCCGGCCGGGAACUCAAAGGAGACUGCCAGUGAUAAACUGGAGGAAGGUGGGGAUGACGUCAAGUCAUCAUGGCCCUUACGACCAGGGCUACACACGUGCUACAAUGGCAUAUACAAAGAGAAGCGACCUCGCGAGAGCAAGCGGACCUCAUAAAGUAUGUCGUAGUCCGGAUUGGAGUCUGCAACUCGACUCCAUGAAGUCGGAAUCGCUAGUAAUCGUAGAUCAGAAUGCUACGGUGAAUACGUUCCCGGGCCUUGUACACACCGCCCGUCACACCAUGGGAGUGGGUUGCAAAAGAAGUAGGUAGCUUAACCUUCGGGAGGGCGCUUACCACUUUGUGAUUCAUGACUGGGGUGAAGUCGUAACAAGGUAACCG
rnacentral:rRNA from 1 species